rnacentral:rRNA from 1 species
AUUGAACGCUGGCGGCAUGCUUUACACAUGCAAGUCGAACGGUAACAGGCCUUCGGGUGCUGACGAGUGGCGAACGGGUGAGUAAUGCAUCGGGACGUGCCCAGAGGUGGGGGAUAACGCAGCGAAAGCUGUGCUAAUACCGCAUGUGAUCUGAGGAUGAAAGCGGGGGACCAGGCAGCAAUGUUUGGCCUCGCGCCUUUGGAGCGGCCGAUGUCAGAUUAGGUAGUUGGUGGGGUAAAGGCCUACCAAGCCGACGAUCUGUAGCUGGUCUGAGAGGACGACCAGCCACACUGGGACUGAGACACGGCCCAGACUCCUACGGGAGGCAGCAGUGGGGAAUUUUGGACAAUGGGCGCAAGCCUGAUCCAGCAAUGCCGCGUGCGGGAAGAAGGCCUUCGGGUUGUAAACCGCUUUUGUACGGAACGAAAAGGCUCUGGCUAAUACCUGGGGCUGAUGACGGUACCGUAAGAAUAAGCACCGGCUAACUACGUG